AAUCGAUAGUCCUAUAUCAGACAUGAUGUAGACAAAGAGGCCUAAAGAAAUGUCAGUGCACUUGGAAACUGCGAGAGAUGUAAUGUAGUUUGCUGAAUUUAAUAUCUGUUCACAAAUACAGGCCAAAAUCAAAGCUAUUUCACAAAGACUCAGAAGAGGGGGGACUCCCAUUUGUAGCUGAGAAUCAGACAACAGUUUUGGCAGCGGGAUUUGGCUAUCAUGUCAGUGAAGAAUUAAGGAAUGGUAUUUUCAAGAAUGCCUCUGUUCGCAAUAGUGUGAUUCCAGUGGCGAUCGUUUUGCACACACAGUUCUGCACAUGUGCCGAUGUAGCUACCAUCAGAGCAUGAGAGAGCUGCAUAUAACACAAUCUAAACCAACCCCCAAGAAACAGUUAGAAGAUAUUCAACCACAGCCAUCCACUUCUCAACCGCAACUGCACCUGAAGGCGGUGAUGAUGAUGAUGCCCCUCUGUCCU